rnacentral:rRNA from 1 species
AGUGAACGCUGGCGGUAUGCCUAACACAUGCAAGUCGAACGGCAGCACAGUAAGAGCUUGCGCUUACGGGUUGCGAGUCGCGGACGGGUGAGGAAUACAUCGGAAUCUACUUUUUCGUGGGGGAUAACGUAGGUAAACUUACUCUAAUACCGCAUACGACCUUCGGUUGAAAGCAGGGAAUCUUCGGACCUUGCGCUGAGGAAUGAGCCGAUGUCGGAUUAGCUAGUUGGCGGGGUAAAGGCCCACUAAGGCGGCGAUCCGUAGCUGGUCUGAUAGGAUGAUGCGCCACACUGGAACUGAGACACGGUCCAGACUCCUACGGGAGGCAGCAGUGGCGAAUAUUGGACGAUGGGCGCAAGACUGAUCCAGCCAUACCGCGUGGGUGAAGAAGGCCUUCGGGUUGUAAAGCCCUUUUGUUGGGAAAGAAAAGCAGCAGGUUAAUACCCCGCUGUUCUGACGGUACCCAAAGAACAAGCACCGGCUAACUUCGUG